GGAUUCUUAACCAAGGAAGAAAAGAAGCAGAUCCUGGGGCAGAAGAGAGGAAGCUGAGGAAGGACAGCAAGUAUGCCUCUUCCUGCUAAACCUGUGGAGUCAGCUGGUGUGUGUUGGUAGCUACUCUAUGCUGAUGGGAGUGUGAAGAAAGGGUCACCUUAUGCCCUGUGAAUGGGACAUCAGGAGUCCAAAGAGAGGAAAAGUCCAGAGAGGCAGGGACAGCAUGGCACCAGGUGGCUGGAGAGGGAAGAUGAGAGAUCACAUUUCAACCACAAUCAGGAAGCAGAGAGAG